GAAAGUAAGCAAGGGCAGACGGUGGAUGCCUUGGCUCUCGGAGGCGAUGAAGGACGUGAUAAGCUGCGAUAAGCUUGGGGUAGGUGCAAAUAACCUUUGAUCCCAAGAUUUCCGAAUGGGGCAACCCGGCUGGUAGAAGGCCAGUCAUUCCGUAAGGAAAGCGAACGUGGGGAACUGAAACAUCUAAGUACCCAUAGGAGAAGAAAACAAAAGUGAUUCCGCAAGUAGUGGCGAGCGAACGCGGAACAGCCCAAACCGAUGUUGUUUAGGCAAUAUCGGGGUUGUAGGACCACGCCAUGGCAAGCGAUUAAGGAAGUAGAACGUUUUGGAAAAAACGGCCGUAGACGGUGAAAGCCCAGUAUACGACUCUUUAAUGAAGCCUAGUGGUAUCCUGAGUAGCGCGGAGCACGAGAAAUUCUGUGUGAACCAGCGGGGCCCAUCCCGUAAGGCUAAAUACUCCCGAGAGACCGAUAGCGAACCAGUACUGUGAAGGAAAGGUGAAAAGCACCUCGAACAGAGGAGUGAAAUAGUCCCUGAAACCGUCUGCCUACAAGCGGUCGGAGCAAUCUUUUGAUUGUGACGGCGUGCCUUUUGCAUAAUGAACCUACGAGUUACUUUCUCCGGCAAGGUUAAGGACUUCAGGUCCGGAGCCGAAGCGAAAGCGAGUCUUAAAAGGGCGGUAUAGUCGGAGUGAGUAGACGCGAAACCAAGUGAUCUACCCUUGGUCAGGAUGAAGGUUGGGUAACACCAACUGGAGGUCCGAAUGGGUAUACGUUGAAAAGUGUUCCAAUGAACUGAGGGUAGGGGUGAAAGGCUAAUCAAACUUGGAGAUAGCUCGUACUCCCCGAAAUGCAUUUAGGUGCAGCCUUUAUAUAGUAUAUAAUGAGGUAGAGCGACUGAUUGGAUGCGAGGGCUUCACCGCCUAUCAAGUCCAGAUAAACUCCGAAUGCGUUAUAUAUAUUUAUAAGGAGUGAGGGCGCGGGUGCUAAGGUCCGCGUCCGAGAGGAGAAGAAUCCAGACCAUCAGCUAAGGUCCCCAAAUAACAGUUAAGUUGAACUAACGAAGUCAGACUGCAGAGACAGCUAGGAUGUUGGCUUGGAAGCAGCCAUUCAUUUAAAGAGUGCGUAACAGCUCACUAGUCGAGGAGUCUGGCGUGGAUAAUACUCGGGCAUAAACUGUUUACCGAAGCUAUGGAUCUCGUAUGAGAUGGUAGGGGAGCAUUCCAUGUACGUCGAAGGUGAGGGAUGACCCUUGCUGGAGUGCAUGGAAACGCAAAUGUAGGUAUAAGUAACGAUAAAGGAGGUGAGAAACCUCCUCGCCGAAAGACUAAGGUUUCCUGAUCAACGUUAAUCGGAUCAGGGUAAGUCGGGACCUAAGGAUAAGCCGAACGGCGAUUCCGAUGGAAGAAUGGUUUAAUAUUCCCAUACUACUUUAUGGAGCGAUGUGGAGACGGAGAAGUGACAGUCCUGCCAUCUGACGGAAUAGAUGGUUAAAGGGUGUAGAUGUAGAUCGAAGUAGGCAAAUCCGCUUUGAGAGUCGAACCUGACAGUAUGUCGCGUACUUGUACAAGGCAAUAUGGACGUAAUCAGGCUCCCUAGAAAAUCCGCUAAGCAAAUUCAUAAAGUACCCGUACCGUAAACGGACACACGUAGUUGGGUUGAAAAUACUGAGGCGCUCGAGUGAUUCACGGUUAAGGAACUAGGCAAAUUGACCCUGUAACUUCGGGAUAAAGGGUCCCUGCAGAGAUGUGGGGCGCAGAGAAUAGGUCCAGGCAACUGUUUAACAAAAACACAUGGCUGUGCGAAAUAGAAAUAUGAAGUAUACAGCCUGACACCUGCCCGGUGCUGGAAGGUUAAGAGGAGAACUCAUCGCAAGAGAAGGUUUGAAUUGAAGCCCCAGUAAACGGCGGCCGUAACUAUAACGGUCCUAAGGUAGCGAAAUUCCUUGUCGGGUAAGUUC
rnacentral:rRNA from 1 species